CCUACGGGAGGCAGCAGUAGGGAAUUUUGCGCAAUGGGGGAAACCCUGACGCAGCAACACCGCGUGAAUGUUAAGCCCUUCGGGGUGUAAAGUUCUGUCAAUAGGGACGCAUUUUGACUGUACCUAUAAAGGAAGCACCGGCUAACUCCGUGCCAGCAGCCGCGGUACUACGGGGGGUGCAAGCGUUGUCCGGAAUCAUGGGGCGUAAGGCGUUCGUAGGCGGUAUGUCAGGUCUGAUGUUAAAGCGCGGGGCUCAACUGCGGAUCGGCAUUGGAUACUGGCAAACUAGAAUGUGGUAGAGGUAGAGGGAAUUCCUGGUGUAGCGGUGAAAUGCGUAGAUAUCAGGAGGAACAUCGGUGGCGAAAGCGCUUUACUGGACCAUUAUUGACGCUGAGGAACGAAAGCGAGGGUAGCAAAUGGGAUUAGAUACCCGAGUAGUC
rnacentral:rRNA from 1 species